GAGACUCUGUGCGCGUGCAUAUCAAUAAGCGGAGGAAAAGAAACUAACAAGGAUUCCCUUAGUAACGGCGAGUGAAGCGGGAAGAGCUCAAAUUUGAAAUCUUCAAGGUUCUACCUUGACGAAUUGUAGUUUAUAAGAAGUGUUUUCUGUUGAAGUAUAGUGGCUAAAAGUUCUUUGGAAUAGGACAUCAUAGAGGGUGAGAAUCCCGUAUUUGGAUCAUUCUUUCUAGCUGUGUGAUACACUUUCAACGAGUCGGAUUGUUUGGGAAUGCAGUCCAAAAUGGGUGGUAAAUUUCAUCUAAAGCUAAAUAUUGGCGAGAGACCGAUAGCGAACAAGUACCGUGAGGGAAAGAUGAAAAGAACUUUGAAAAGAGAGUUAAACAGUACGUGAAAUUGUCAAAAGGGAAGCGUUUGACACCAGUGUUGUUUUCUCGAAAAUCAAUUAAAAAUGGCCGGAUUUUGUGUUGUAUUGACUUUAAUCAAGCUUUCUUCACUUUUCUCUUGUCUUUUUUAAUGCACUUUCCGUUUAACAAGUCAACAUCAGUUUCUUUUGUUGUAAAAGGAGUCAUUGGAAGGUGGCUUUCAUUUCGGAUGAAAGUGUUUAUAGCCUUGUGCCUCUGCAAUCGGAGAGAUUGAGGUCUGCAGCGUAGAUCCUUCGGGGUUAGAUACAUUUGUGCUAAGUUAUAGCUUUUCAUAGACAACUUGUUGACUAUGUUUAGUCUUGUAGCUUACUCGCUGACGCUAUUUUACCUACGCUUAGGAUGUUGACAGCAGUAUAGACUGU
rnacentral:rRNA from 1 species